UACGUAGGGUGCAAGCGUUAAUCGGAAUUACUGGGCGUAAAGCGUGUGUAGGCGGUUCGGAAAGAAAGAUGUGAAAUCCCAGGGCUCAACCUUGGAACUGCAUUUUUAACUGCCGAGCUAGAGUAUGUCAGAGGGGGGUAGAAUUCCACGUGUAGCAGUGAAAUGCGUAGAGAUGUGGAGGAAUACCGAUGGCGAAGGCAGCCCCCUGGGAUAAUACUGACGCUCAGACACGAAAGCGUGGGGAGCAAACAGG
rnacentral:rRNA from 1 species